rnacentral:rRNA from 1 species
GUAGGGUGCGAGCGUUAAUCGGAAUUACUGGGCGUAAAGCGUGCGCAGGCGGUUGUGUAAGUCAGAUGUGAAAUCCCCGGGCUCAACCUGGGAACUGCAUUUGAGACUGCACGGCUAGAGUGUGACAGAGGGGGGUAGAAUUCCACGUGUAGCAGUGAAAUGCGUAGAGAUGUGGAGGAAUACCGAUGGCGAAGGCAGCCCCCUGGGUUACUACUGACGCUCAUGCACGAAAGCGUGGGGAGCAAAC